UUCUUCGAUGAGAAAAUGCUAAAAUAUCGGCCCAAAUCCAUCUCUUUCCAUCUUCUCCCACUGCCACCCAGAGUGUAAUCGUCAAGCGGAUGCUUCACAUUUAUACAUCCGGUGAAAUAUCUGUCUCAUUGUUCUAUCUGUGAUGUCGCUGUUGAACUGUGGUAGUGGAGGAACAGGAAGUAAAAAAAACAACAAAGAAAGCCGCAGAACUGUGCUGUCGAAACGAUAGCUUUUGUAUUACUACAGGACGACUAGAAUUAAGUCUGAGGCCGGUAACAUCAACAGUGAGGACAAACCCAGCCUGCCUCUCUCCUUCCACACUGAGUCCAAACCUACAGUCACUGGGUCCUGAUUGUGACAGUGGAGCCCAGUUUGCACUGCAGGAUCCAGAGAUGGCAUCAGUGAAGCUGGAAGACUGCAGUCCAACAAUGGAGCUGAAUGUCAACAUUAAAGAUGAAGAAGAGGAGGAGAAGAUUGGGGAAUCUGUUUCUCAUGGAGACCAUGUUGAGACAUUCUCUACAUCCAGAGAGCAACAGCCGGGAAGAUCACAGAGUUAAGAGGUCUCACCACUGCCCACAUUGUGAGGAGAUUUUCCCAUUUCUAUCAAAGCUUAAAAUACACAUAAAAAUACACACAGGAGAGAAUCCGUAUUCCUGCACUAACUGUGGAAAGAGAUUCACAACAUCACAAUCUCUGACAGUUCAUCAGAGAGUGCACACUGGAGAGAAGCCUUACUCUUGCUCUGUAUGUGGGAAGAGGUUCUCUCAACAGAUCCACUUGCAAACACACCAACAUGUACAUACAGGAGUGAAGCCAUACUCCUGCUCUGAGUGUGGGAAGAGGUUCUCUCAACAGAUCCACUUGCAAACACACCAACAUGUACAUACAGGAGUGAAGCCAUACUCCUGCUCUGACUGUGGGAAGACUUUCUCCCGAUUGGAUACCUUAAAAAACAUGAACGUAUACAUACAGGUGAGAAUCCAUAUUCCUGUACUGACUGUGGGAAGACUUUCUCCCGAUUGAUACCUUAAAAACACAUGAACGUAUACAUACAGGUGAGAAUCCAUAUUCCUGUACUGACUGCGGGAAGAGCUUCACAACGUCAGGGACACUAAUAAUUCAUCAGAGAGUGCACACUGGAGAGAAGCCUUACUCCUGCUCUGGCUGUGAGAAGAGGUUCUCUCAACAUAUCCACUUACAAAAACACAAACGUCUACAUACAGGAGAGAAGCCUUACUGCUGCUCUGACGGUGGGAAGAGUUUCUUUCAA